GCUGUUUAUAAGCACACACAGGUUAGGUAUUUUAAUUUAAACCUUAAGUCCUAAAUGAAAAGGAUAUUUGUCGUUUGUUGUUUUAAUAUCUGUUUUGAUUUUUUUUUUUACAAAAAGCCCUUUGCUUGCUAACGCAGAUCAACAACCGCAACAACCGCUAACAAGCUGACAAUGUUAGGGCUUGGACACUGACGACAUCUGGCGGCCAGAUUUGUUUUCAAUUCUGGAGCAUAGGCUAGCCCUUUAGCCCCUACCUUCUUCUUCGUCUGCGUGCGCUUCACACCCUUUUCCUAUCAAUGGAAAGUCCUGAAAUCCCCCACCAGGUGCCACUGCAGUUUAAUAACAACAAUGACUGCCAUGGUUAGUGCACGUGAGAUCCUUGUGAAUGGAAAAUAGCAUGAUCAAGGCUGUUCUUCAAUUGCAAAGAAAGAGAAUUAUGAUUGAAACAAAUGCAAAAUAUCCAAUUGGAAUUCUCUUCGUAUUUGUGGUAAUUUUGGAAAAUUGUCUUUCCAGAGAAUAACACCUUAAAAGAAAGAACUGUGGUUGUGAUAAUGUAGCAGUAUUGUGUGAAUCUGUCGCCGCCAUUCCAUAGACUGACCCAUUGGGAUGGUGAAACUGAGGAGAAAACGCUGAAAUUCAAGAUAAUGAUGUAGAUAAAUUAAAAGUGCAUAUCUGGGCUCCCUUCUUUUCUGUGGCCCCGUUUCCCUAACUAACCACUAACCAACGCCCGCCGGUGGUCAC
rnacentral:lncRNA from 1 species